UACGGAGGGUGCAAGCGUUAUCCGGAUUCACUGGGUUUAAAGGGUGCGUAGGCGGGCAGGUAAGUCAGUGGUGAAAUCUCCGAGCUUAACUUGGAAACUGCCGUUGAUACUAUCUGUCUUGAAUAUUGUGGAGGUGAGCGGAAUAUGUCAUGUAGCGGUGAAAUGCUUAGAUAUGACAUAGAACACCAAUGGCGAAGGCAGCUCGCUACACAUAUAUUGACUCUGAGGCACGAAAGCGUGGGGAUCAAACAGG
rnacentral:rRNA from 1 species